UACGUAGGGGGCGAGCGUUGUCCGGAUUUACUGGGCGUAAAGCGCGUGUAGGCGGUCCCUUAAGUCCGGGGUGAAAGGCGGAGGCUCAACCUCCGAGCUGCGCCGGAAACUGGGGGUCUUGAAUGUCGGAGAGGGGCGUGGAAUACCUGGUGUAGCGGUGAAAUGCGUAGAGAUCAGGUGGAACACCGGUGGCGAAGGCGGCGCCCUGGCCGAACAUUGACGCUGAGACGCGAAAGCGCGGGGAGCGAACGGG
rnacentral:rRNA from 1 species